rnacentral:rRNA from 1 species
GAUGAACGCUGGCGGCGUGCCUAAUACAUGCAAGUCGAGCGAACGGACGAGAAGCUUGCUUCUCUGAUGUUAGCGGCGGACGGGUGAGUAACACGUGGAUAACCUACCUAUAAGACUGGGAUAACUUCGGGAAACCGGAGCUAAUACCGGAUAAUAUUUUGAACCGCAUGGUUCAAAAGUGAAAGACGGUCUUGCUGUCACUUAUAGAUGGAUCCGCGCGGCAUUAGCUAGUUGGUAAGGUAACGGCUUACCAAGGCAACGAUGCAUAGCCGACCUGAGAGGGUGAUCGGCCACACUGGAACUUAGCCACGGUCCAGACUCCUACGGGAGGCAGCAGUAGGGAAUCUUCCGCAAUGGGCGAAAGCCUUACGGAGCAACGCCGCGUGAGUGAUGAAGGUCUUCGGAUCGUAAAACUCUGUUAUUAGUGAAGAACAUAUUUGUAAGUAACUGUGCACAUCUUGACGGUACCUAAUCAGAAAGCCACGGCUAACUACGUG